rnacentral:rRNA from 1 species
AUUGAACGCUGGCGGAAUGCUUUACACAUGCAAGUCGAACGGGGGUAGCAAUACCCUAGUGGCGAACGGGUGAGUAAUACAUCGGAACGUACCCUGACGUGGGGGAUAACACAUCGAAAGGUGUGCUAAUACCGCAUACGUCCUGAGGGAGAAAGCGGGGGAUCGCAAGACCUCGCGCGUUUGGAGCGGCCGAUGGCGGAUUAGCUAGUUGGUGGGGUAAUGGCCUACCAAGGCGAUGAUCGGUAACUGGUCUGAGAGGACGACCAGUCACACUGGGACUGAGACACGGCCCAGACUCCUACGGGAGGCAGCAGUGGGGAAUAUUGGACAAUGGGGGCAACCCUGAUCCAGCGAUGCCGCGUGAGUGAAGAAGGCCUUCGGGUCGUAAAGCUCUUUAGGUUGGGAAGAAGGGUAUUGGCUGAAUAAUCCAGUACUUUGACGGUACCGACAGAAUAAGCACCGGCAAACUCUGUGCCAGCAGCCGCGGUAACAC